AGUGAACGCUGGCGGUAGGCCUAACACAUGCAAGUCGAACGGCAGCACAGUAAGAGCUUGCUCUUACGGGUGGCGAGUGGCGGACGGGUGAGGAAUACAUCGGAAUCUACUUUUUCGUGGGGGAUAACGUAGGUAAACUUACGCUAAUACCGCAUACGACCUACGGGUGAAAGCAGUGGAUCUUCGGACCUUGCGCGAUUGAAUGAGCCGAUGUCGGAUUAGCUAGUUGGCGGGGUAAAUGCCCACCAAGGCGACGAUCCGGAGCUGGUCUGAGAGGAUGAUCAGCCACACUGGAACUGAGACAGCGUCCAGACUCCUACGGGAGGCAGCAGUGGGGAAUAUUGGACAAUAGGCGGAAGGCUGGUCCAGCCAUACCGCGUGGGUGAAGAAAGCCUUCGGGUUGUAAAGCCCUUUUGUUGGGAAAGAAAAGCAGCAGGUUAAUACCACGCUGUUGUGACGGUACCCAAAGAAUAAGCACCGGCUAACUUCGUG
rnacentral:rRNA from 1 species